UUGACCUCAAAUCAUGUAGGACUACCCGCUGAACUUAA
rnacentral:rRNA from 1 species